rnacentral:snRNA from 1 species
AAAUGAAUAACAGCUGGAGCAA